CCCACACACGCACUGCAGAAAAAAAACCAGCCCUCAGGAAACAUCGCUCAUCUCGAUCUCCCGUCGAAAAGAAAAACGCAGGGACGAGGCACUCCUGUCCCCUAGCCCCUCGCAUGCUAGGGUUCCUCACGCCGCCGUCGACGCCGCCGCCGCAUGGGUGUUCGUCGACUGGCCCUGCCUCCGGCCGCCGCCACCGCAGCCGCCCACCUUCAUCCUCUCCCCAACCCCGUCGGCCUCCAAUCCACCCCACUCCUCCGCGGGUGCCACCAAACCAUCGCCGCCCUCUCCCCGCACCCGUACCCAAGGAAUCAGCCGGCGGCCAGAUCCGCCCCUCCACUCACCCAACUCUCCCUCCGCCGCCGCGGACCUAGCAGGGAAGACGCGGACGAGAUCCCAAGUCGCUGCUCCUCCUCUCCCGGGAUGCAGCCGCCGCCGCCGAACCAGGGAGACGCCGGCGACCAUCGCCGCCGUCGUGGAUCACCAUGACGCCGCCGCCUGCACCGCCACCGCCGCGGUGUCGCGGCUGGCAUUGGCGAAUCCAUUCCCAGCGGCGGCGGCUUCCGGCGAGGAGGCGAGCGAGCUCGGGGAGCUACGGCAGGGGCUUGUCGCCGGUGAGGCGAGGCCAAGGCGGCGGCGCGCGGGCGCGAGGAGGCGGGGUCGAGGAGGCGCAGGAGGACGCCGGCCGGUGGGGCUCCGGCGGGGGCUUGGUGAGGGCGGCGGCGGCCGGCGUGCUCGCUUGGGAGGAUGGAGGCUGCCUCACCGGGGCUCGGGCACGGCAGCACGGCGUCGGGCCGUUGCCGAUGGCGCUGGGGCCGGGGCGGUGGUUUGACGGGCGACGAGGAGGAGGUGCUGUCCUGGAGCCAGCGACGGCGGCUGCAGCUUGACAAUGCCGGCGUCAACAACUUGCUUCAGGGGCUUCAGGCCGUGAACGGCGUUGUGCUUGCGCGCGAGACCCGUGUCUGAUUUGGAAAGAAUCAAUCCGGUGAAGAAGAAGGCCAAUGCAAUUGCUCUCUAGCUAGGCACUGGAGUAUCUGCACCCCCAAUGGAAUACUACGAAUUGCUGCUGGUACUGAACAUUGACAGGCAAGCAACAACAAACAGACUUUGCUGUUUUCAGUCUACUCAGAUAUUUGUUGGGCAUCACCGAGGAACGCCAGCAAAGGCGUGAAGAAAUACUCACAAUCAGUGUGACAUGUCGUGUGAGAUGAAGGUGGCAAACCAUCCAAACUUUAAGCCAAGCAUGUGGUGGAUCCGCCAUGGAUGAUGGAUGGACCGAGCUCCUGGUGUAAUUAAGCAUAUGGCUUUUGUGAUGUGUUAUGUAGAUAAUUACGUCGCGGAUCACCGGGACAUGACUAUCGCAGAUCACCAGGACACCGCCGGCGGCGGCGCCUCGGAUACCGGCGACCGGCGGUGAUCUGAGACCAACGAGUCAGCACCACAUCCCUGGUACUUCCCUUCCCCAUCCGCCAACCCUCUACCCUCCCCCUCUACAAAGGCCCGUGCGGCCCUGUCCGUCCGACCUCGACGGACACGACCAAGGAUGGAUGUGCAUCCCGACGCCUCUCUUCUCCAUUGAUCCCCCAUCUCCUCAAGGUGAAUCUUCUCCACAGGGAGGAUCUGACGACGCCGAACGCAGCCAUGGAGCACCAGGAGCACGCGGAGACGAUGUGGGAGUGGGCGGUCUCCGAGGUUAGCUACUUCGCUUUUCUUUUUGAUGGUCCGAGGUUGCUAUUACGGGAUUACCUGAUGUUGCUUCAUGUCUGUUAUAUCUUUCAAUAUUUACAGAAACUUCCAAAACUAACACCAGUUAUUGGUGGUUUACACCGAUAGUUUCCAGACCUUUAUCGCAAGAUGGACGAACUUGGCAUCUCAGCCAGUACUCUACCUCAUCAACAGUUUGAUGUCCCUUUGAAUGAAGUUAGGCCAGCAUCAGAAGGUCCUAGCCUUUUUGAGGAGAUGAAGGUGAAGAAUAUUAAGCCGGAUAACCUCACAUGUUGCCUUCUAAUGACCAGCCAUGCGGCAUUGAACAAGAUAGAUGUUGUUGGAGAAGUUUCAGAAGAAAUGCAAGAGAAGGAUGUAGUUCUAGGGUGGUCUGCAUAUAGCAUGGUUUCUAUCUACCUGAGUGCUGGUUUGGUUUUAAAAAACAGUCCGCUCCGAAGAAACUCGAGGGCCUUGCUUUUAGAAGGUAACAUAAAUAUCUAUAUUGAUCGUUCAUGGUCCUGGGGCUGUUUGUUACCAUGUAAUAUAACAUAGUACUAUGCACAACGACGCGUCAUCACUAAGCUCAACAUCUAAAUAACUUGAAAUGUUGGCUCAGAGUUCUUUUACAACAUAAAAAUGAUUUUAUUUCUCCCGAUGCAUUGUUAUUUAGGCUUCAUUAUUCUGCAAUUUCUGUCAAAGUACUAAACAUGAAAUAUAUAAUUUGGUAAUGAACCGCAAAAUAUAUAUAUGUCCCCUGUUUUGUUAUUUAGGCUUCAUUAUUCUACAAAAUAUAUUUAUUACUUUGGUUACUCAGAUUACCACAAAAUAUAUAAGUUGUUUAUAUAAGUUGUUUAGGCUUAUAUUUUGUUAUUAUUCUACAAAAUAUAUAAGUUGUUUAGGCAUAUACAAUAACUUACCGAUAAAUAUAUUUUGUUAUUUAGGCUUCAUUAUUCUACAAUUUCUGGCAAAUCAAUAAACAUGCCAUACAUAAGUUGUUUUUGAACCCCAAAUAAUAUAUAUAUUUGUCCCCUGUUGCAACGUACAACCUCUUUUCCUUUAUUUCCUUAAUAUUAAAGGGAGGUGAGUUUCUUUAAAAAGUUUACAUUGUUUAUAAAAUUUUAAAACCAUGGGAAAGUAGUGCAUCAGGGAAGGUUCACCACUAGACCCCCCUGAUUGCAACGAAACAUCCUUUAUGUUGGAUUUUUUGGUAAUUAUGUAUUUAACAAAGCUCUCGUGUUUUGCUGGCGCAUGCCGUUUGUUCCUCUACAAGUGCCACUUCGCUGCAACCACUCUGUCAUUCAUGAAGAAUGUGAAGGCAAGGCUCCAUUUAAGGGAACGCGGCUAGCAACUAGACCCUCUAGGUGGACGCGAUCUUGAGCAGCGAAGAGCAGAUGCUCCGACAAGGCGAGCGUGGUUGCAGGCGACUGUUACACAUGUCGAGUUUGCUGACAAGAUUUCUGUCUCGGAAGGCGAGCGCGAGGCCACCACAAGGAGCAGAGCUGAGCUCGCUGUAGGCGGUGGAGGCGCACACGUUCCCACACCACUUUGCCAAGAUGAAGAAGAAAGUUGGCCUCACGCCCUCUGCCAUUAUAUCUGCGAGGGCCUCUGACAGUUCGGUGCUCAAAUCAAUUGAUGCCAACAGACCAGUGAGGUCCAAUUACCCCCUGAUCUGCGCAAUAACUGAAUGCAGGCGCAAGAACACUGACUUCAGGAACAGAGCAUUCGCGUUCCUGUUUGCUGACGGGGCCAACGACGAGUUGAGCUCGCUGUAGGCGAUGGAGGCGCACGCGUUCCCGCACCAGUUCGCUGAGAUGAAGAAAGUUGGCCUCGCGCCCGCUCCCAUUAUCUCUGCGAGGGCCUCUAACACUUCGGUUCUCAAAUCAAUUGACGCCAACAGACCAGUGAGGUCCAAUCACCCCCUGAUUUCGACGCGGUUGUUAGAGAAUUGUUUGCAUUAAUUUCCUCAUUUGUGCAACAUGUGUAAUUCUGCAUAUGAGCACCGAAAUCUGGGGUGAAAACCGUUUCAUUUAUAAAUCAGAUAUGAAGUGCUAGAGCAACGAGAAUGAACAGAAUGAAAGUAGAGGAGAGGAGGGCUGGCAGAAAGAUGCUACAUUGUCUUCUUGCAAGGAGAUGAUGGUUAAGGUGGUGGAAAACAAAUGAGAUGAGAAAAAUGGAUUGUGAGAGAAGCAUCAUAUACUGCAAUUCUCGGUGAAGUCAAGGAGAUUAGUAUUAUCUUUCGAAUUAUUGAUACGAAAGCAAAUACAGUUGCACAUGUCUGUGUAAAAUUUGUUGUUCGUGCGAGUAGAUGGAGCUGGUGGUUGAGCUCUGCCCCUGAUUUCCAGUGUACUAGCCCUACAACAAAAUUGUACUCAGUAAGGUCAUAGGUUUUUUUUCCCUGACAAUUAAGAUUCUAUAAGAAUGUGCCCGAAGCCUGUCAGGUAAUACCAGCCAACUAAGCAGAUACACAAUGAAAUUUCUGAA